rnacentral:sRNA from 1 species
AGCUUCGACCAAGGUUCGACUCGAGCGCCAACGAGAGAGCGUGGCCGCAGGCAACGACCCGAAGGGCGAAGCGCGCAGCGCUGAGUAAUCCUUCCCCCACCACCA